GUAGCGUUUCUUUUCGACUGUGUUAAUCCCGUCGACGAGUUCUAUCCAGUUGAUGAAAACUCCAGCCGGCUAAAGCUAAUGAUGCUACUUCCGCCGACACGUUUGUCAACAAACGCAGCAGGUAUCAGGAGAGAAAGUGGCUCUUUUAAAUAUCGCAAGCUGCUGAGGUUGUGCAUCGCUGACCUUCAUGGAGCCGCAGCCGCCCUGCAGAUCUCAGCUAAACAAUGCGGCUCUUGUGAAGGUGGUCAUGUGAUCCGAACUGUGACGUGUGGUGCCGGGAAAGCUGUCGGUGACUGACGUGAGUCUGUCGGCAGCUCCAUCUUCAAAGGCUUUACAUGAAAACGUGAAGCAGUGAAUCUGAGCGCUAAAGACAAAUAAAGUUUUCUUCAUCUCACGCGUGAGUCACCCUCACACACGCUCCUCUCGGACCUCCGGAGGAUCAACAACAAGUCUGGAGACCCUUCCCAUCUUCUCGGCACGACCCCCCGCCGCAGAAUUCCUGCCGAGGUUAUUCCCGAGCAAAAGAGGGAAAACACGUUGGAGGAAUAAAACGACAACAAGCCGGUCUCCUCCCACCGGAGCCGACAGCCCCGCCCUCUGGAAUUCACCGACCCACGCCCCUCCUCCCCCUCCAGGCCUGGGCCUGUUGAGGAGGAUGCUGGUGGAGGCCUCACCGCAGCACACACGGCGAGGGUUUGGGUCACGAGGUCGGACGCUGGUGUCAGGAGUUAUCCGUCGCUCAGAUCCUGACAGUCCGCGACCAGACGGGAUGUAAAUAAAGUUUGUCUCAAGCUGGAAAAUGUUCUCAGCAGUAAAGGUUUCUACUGGUGACAGCAGCGAGUGGUCAGCUUCAGUGUGUCAGCAGUGUCACUCUGGACUGAAGGCAAAAUGGAUUUUGAAAUCGCUGAGAAUA